UUGGUUGAAAAGCCAGUGGCG
rnacentral:snRNA from 1 species